AAAUAUCAAAAAAAAAUUAAAUGUGAUUUUAUCUAAUAACUCUAUAAAAAUUACAUGGAAUUUUAA
rnacentral:tRNA from 1 species